rnacentral:rRNA from 1 species
UUAAGCGACUAAGCGUACACGGUGGAUGCCCUGGCAGUCAGAGGCGAUGAAGGACGUGCUAAUCUGCGAUAAGCGUCGGUAAGGUGAUAUGAACCGUUAUAACCGGCGAUUUCCGAAUGGGGAAACCCAGUGUGUUUCGACACACUAUCAUUAACUGAAUCCAUAGGUUAAUGAGGCGAACCGGGGGAACUGAAACAUCUAAGUACCCCGAGGAAAAGAAAUCAACCGAGAUUCCCCCAGUAGCGGCGAGCGAACGGGGAGGAGCCCAGAGCCUGAAUCAGUGUGUGUGUUAGUGGAAGCGUCUGGAAAGGCGUGCGAUACAGGGUGACAGCCCCGUACACAAAAAUGCACAUAUUGUGAGCUCGAUGAGUAGGGCGGGACACGUGGUAUCCUGUCUGAAUAUGGGGGGACCAUCCUCCAAGGCUAAAUACUCCUGACUGACCGAUAGUGAACCAGUACCGUGAGGGAAAGGCGAAAAGAACCCCGGCGAGGGGAGUGAAAAAGAACCUGAAACCGUGUACGUACAAGCAGUGGGAGCCUCUUAAUGGGGUGACUGCGUACCUUUUGUAUAAUGGGUCAGCGACUUAUAUUCUGUAGCAAGGUUAACCGAAUAGGGGAGCCGAAGGGAAACCGAGUCUUAACUGGGCGUUAAGUUGCAGGGUAUAGACCCGAAACCCGGUGAUCUAGCCAUGGGGCAGGUUGAAGGUUGGGUAACACUAACUGGAGGACCGAACCGACUAAUGUUGAAAAAUUAGCGGAUGACUUGUGGCUGGGGGUGAAAGGCCAAUCAAACCGGGAGAUAGCUGGUUCUCCCCGAAAGCUAUUUAGGUAGCGCCUCGUGAAUUCAUCUCCGGGGGUAGAGCACUGUUUCGGCAAGGGGGUCAUCCCGACUUACCAACCCGAUGCAAACUGCGAAUACCGGAGAAUGUUAUCACGGGAGACACACGGCGGGUGCUAACGUCCGUCGUGAAGAGGGAAACAACCCAGACCGCCAGCUAAGGUCCCAAAGUCAUGGUUAAGUGGGAAACGAUGUGGGAAGGCCCAGACAGCCAGGAUGUUGGCUUAGAAGCAGCCAUCAUUUAAAGAAAGCGUAAUAGCUCACUGGUCGAGUCGGCCUGCGCGGAAGAUGUAACGGGGCUAAACCAUGCACCGAAGCUGCGGCAGCGACGCUUAUGCGUUGUUGGGUAGGGGAGCGUUCUGUAAGCCUGUGAAGGUGUACUGUGAGGUAUGCUGGAGGUAUCAGAAGUGCGAAUGCUGACAUAAGUAACGAUAAAGCGGGUGAAAAGCCCGCUCGCCGGAAGACCAAGGGUUCCUGUCCAACGUUAAUCGGGGCAGGGUGAGUCGACCCCUAAGGCGAGGCCGAAAGGCGUAGUCGAUGGGAAACAGGUUAAUAUUCCUGUACUUGGUGUUACUGCGAAGGGGGGACGGAGAAGGCUAUGUUGGCCGGGCGACGGUUGUCCCGGUUUAAGCGUGUAGGCUGGUUUUCCAGGCAAAUCCGGAAAAUCAAGGCUGAGGCGUGAUGACGAGGCACUACGGUGCUGAAGCAACAAAUGCCCUGCUUCCAGGAAAAGCCUCUAAGCAUCAGGUAACAUCAAAUCGUACCCCAAACCGACACAGGUGGUCAGGUAGAGAAUACCAAGGCGCUUGAGAGAACUCGGGUGAAGGAACUAGGCAAAAUGGUGCCGUAACUUCGGGAGAAGGCACGCUGAUAUGUAGGUGAAGCGACUUGCUCGUGGAGCUGAAAUCAGUCGAAGAUACCAGCUGGCUGCAACUGUUUAUUAAAAACACAGCACUGUGCAAACACGAAAGUGGACGUAUACGGUGUGACGCCUGCCCGGUGCCGGAAGGUUAAUUGAUGGGGUUAGCGGUAACGCGAAGCUCUUGAUCGAAGCCCCGGUAAACGGCGGCCGUAACUAUAACGGUCCUAAGGUAGCGAAAUUCCUUGUCGGGUAAGUUCCGACCUGCACGAAUGGCGUAAUGAUGGCCAGGCUGUCUCCACCCGAGACUCAGUGAAAUUGAACUCGCUGUGAAGAUGCAGUGUACCCGCGGCAAGACGGAAAGACCCCGUGAACCUUUACUAUAGCUUGACACUGAACAUUGAGCCUUGAUGUGUAGGAUAGGUGGGAGGCUUUGAAGUGUGGACGCCAGUCUGCAUGGAGCCGACCUUGAAAUACCACCCUUUAAUGUUUGAUGUUCUAACGUUGGCCCCUGAUCGGGGUUGCGGACAGUGUCUGGUGGGUAGUUUGACUGGGGCGGUCUCCUCCUAAAGAGUAACGGAGGAGCACGAAGGUUGGCUAAUCCUGGUCGGACAUCAGGAGGUUAGUGCAAUGGCAUAAGCCAGCUUGACUGCGAGCGUGACGGCGCGAGCAGGUGCGAAAGCAGGUCAUAGUGAUCCGGUGGUUCUGAAUGGAAGGGCCAUCGCUCAACGGAUAAAAGGUACUCCGGGGAUAACAGGCUGAUACCGCCCAAGAGUUCAUAUCGACGGCGGUGUUUGGCACCUCGAUGUCGGCUCAUCACAUCCUGGGGCUGAAGUAGGUCCCAAGGGUAUGGCUGUUCGCCAUUUAAAGUGGUACGCGAGCUGGGUUUAGAACGUCGUGAGACAGUUCGGUCCCUAUCUGCCGUGGGCGCUGGAGAACUGAGGGGGGCUGCUCCUAGUACGAGAGGACCGGAGUGGACGCAUCACUGGUGUUCGGGUUGUCAUGCCAAUGGCACUGCCCGGUAGCUAAAUGCGGAAGAGAUAAGUGCUGAAAGCAUCUAAGCACGAAACUUGCCCCGAGAUGAGUUCUCCCUGAGACUUUAAGUCUCCUGAAGGAACGUUGAAGACGACGACGUUGAUAGGCCGGGUGUGUAAGCGCAGCGAUGCGUUGAGCUAACCGGUACUAAUGAACCGUGAGGCUUAACCUU